rnacentral:rRNA from 1 species
GUGAGUAACACGUGGGUAACCUGCCCAUCAGAAGGGGAUAACACUUGGAAACAGGUGCUAAUACCGUAUAACAAUCGAAACCGCAUGGUUUUGAUUUGAAAGGCGCUUUCGGGUGUCGCUGAUGGAUGGACCCGCGGUGCAUUAGCUAGUUGGUGAGGUAACGGCUCACCAAGGCCACGAUGCAUAGCCGACCUGAGAGGGUGAUCGGCCACAUUGGGACUGAGACACGGCCCAAACUCCUACGGGAGGCAGCAGUAGGGAAUCUUCGGCAAUGGACGAAAGUCUGACCGAGCAACGCCGCGUGAGUGAAGAAGGUUUUCGGAUCGUAAAACUCUGUUGUUAGAGAAGAACAAGGAUGAGAGUAACUGUUCAUCCCUUGACGGUAUCUAACCAGAAAGCCACGGCUAACUACGUGCCAGCAGCCGCGGUAAUACGUAGGUGGCAAGCGUUGUCCGGAUUUAUUGGGCGUAAAGCGAGCGCAGGCGGUUUCUUAAGUCUGAUGUGAAAGCCCCCGGCUCAACCGGGGAGGGUCAUUGGAAACUGGGAGACUUGAGUGCAGAAGAGGAGAGUGGAAUUCCAUGUGUAGCGGUGAAAUGCGUAGAUAUAUGGAGGAACACCAGUGGCGAAGGCGGCUCUCUGGUCUGUAACUGACGCUGAGGCUCGAAAGCGUGGGGAGCAAACAGGAUUAGAUACCCUGGUAGUCCACGCCGUAAACGAUGAGUGCUAAGUGUUGGAGGGUUUCCGCCCUUCAGUGCUGCAGCUAACGCAUUAAGCACUCCGCCUGGGGAGUACGACCGCAAGGUUGAAACUCAAAGGAAUUGACGGGGGCCCGCACAAGCGGUGGAGCAUGUGGUUUAAUUCGAAGCAACGCGAAGAACCUUACCAGGUCUUGACAUCCUUUGACCACUCUAGAGAUAGAGCUUCCCCUUCGGGGGCAAAGUGACAGGUGGUGCAUGGUUGUCGUCAGCUCGUGUCGUGAGAUGUUGGGUUAAGUCCCGCAACGAGCGCAACCCUUAUUGUUAGUUGCCAUCAUUCAGUUGGGCACUCUAGCAAGACUGCCGGUGACAAACCGGAGGAAGGUGGGGAUGACGUCAAAUCAUCAUGCCCCUUAUGACCUGGGCUACACACGUGCU